ACCUGGGUGGCUCAGUUAGUUAAGCGUCUGACUUCGGCUCAGGUCAUGAUCUCAUGGUUUGUGGGUUCAAGCCCCACAUCAGGCU
rnacentral:tRNA from 1 species